rnacentral:rRNA from 1 species
UACGUAGGGACCAAGCGUUGUUCGGAUUUACUGGGCGUAAAGGGCGCGUAGGCGGCUUAACAAGUCACUUGUGAAAUCUCCGGGCUUAACUCGGAACGGCCAAGUGAAACUGUCAAGCUAGAGUGCAGAAGGGGCAAUCGGAAUUCUUGGUGUAGCGGUGAAAUGCGUAGAUAUCAAGAGGAACACCUGAGGUGAAGACGGGUUGCUGGGCCAACACUGACGCUGAUGCGCGAAAGCCAGGGGAGCAAACGGG